rnacentral:rRNA from 1 species
AUUGAACGCUGGCGGCAUGCCUUACACAUGCAAGUCGAACGGUAACAGGUCUUCGGAUGCUGACGAGUGGCGAACGGGUGAGUAAUACAUCGGAACGUGCCCGAUCGUGGGGGAUAACGAAGCGAGAGCUUUGCUAAUACCGCAUACGAUCUACGGAUGAAAGCAGGGGACCGCAAGGCCUUGCGCGAACGGAGCGGCCGAUGGCAGAUUAGGUAGUUGGUGGGAUAAAAGCUUACCAAGCCGACGAUCUGUAGCUGGUCUGAGAGGACGACCAGCCACACUGGGACUGAGACACGGCCCAGACUCCUACGGGAGGCAGCAGUGGGGAAUUUUGGACAAUGGGCGAAAGCCUGAUCCAGCCAUGCCGCGUGCAGGAUGAAGGCCUUCGGGUUGUAAACUGCUUUUGUACGGAACGAAAAGACUCUGGUUAAUACCUGGGGUCCAUGACGGUACCGUAAGAAUAAGCACCGGCUAACUACGUG